ensembl:lncRNA
UCCACUAGAUGUUGGAACAGCCUCCACUCUUCUGGGAAGGCUUUCCACUAGAUGUUGGAACAGCCUCCACUCUUCUGGGAAGGCUUUCCACUAGAUGUUAGAACAGCCUCCACUCUUCUGGGAAGGCUUUCCACUAGAUGUUGGAACAGGGAUGAAUUGGAAUGCCGUCUGCGAGCCAGGCCUAAUCGCCCAACAUCAGUGCCCGACCUCACUGAUGCUGUUGUGGCUGAAUAGAAGCAAGUCGGGGCGGCAGGGUAGCCUAGUGGUUAGAGCGUUGGACUAGUAACCGAAAGGUUGCAAGUUCGAAUCCCUGAGCUGACAAAGUACAAAUCUGUCGUUCUGCCCCUGAACAGGCAGUUAACCCACUGUUCCUAGGCAGUCAUUGAAAAUAAGAAUUUGUUCUUAACUGACUUGCCUAGUUAAAUAAAAAUCUGCGGGGACUUGCUUCCAGUCAGCCACAAGAGCAUUAGUGAGGUUGGGCAAUUAGGCCCGAUGGGGUUGAGGUCAGGGCUCUGUGCAGGCCAGUCAAGUUCUUCCACACCGAUCUCGACAAACCAUUUCUGUAUGGACCUUGCUUUGGGCACGAUAAGGAAAUGGCCUUCCCCAAAGUUGGAAGCACUGAAUCAUCUAGAAUGUCAAUGUAUGCUGUAGCGUUAAGAUUUAACUUCACUGGAACUAAAAUGGGCCUAGCCCCACCUCCUCCACCAAGUUUGACUGUAGGCACUAUGCAUCGGGGCAGGUGAUAUUCGCCAGUAUUUGUCUAUGGAGAUUGCAUGGCGGUGUGCUUUAUUUUAUACACCUGUCAGCAACGGUAGUGGCGGAAAUAGCUUUUGUAUCUAUAGUGUACCAAGAAAACAAGAUCCAGGCUCCAUAGGAGAAUCUUAAUUGCAUUUCAUUGCCUCCUUUUCAAACCACAUUGGACAAGAAGGUCAAAGGGGAGGAAAUGUUGAGAUCCUCCAAUAGAGAGAGGACUCACCUAUAUCUGUCUGUCUCGGUGUAUAACGGACUAGUUUCAGUAAAGCUGUGUAAUAGUGACAUCUAGUGGUAUAAAACGGAUAUUACAUCUUGAAGGGGGGGCUUCUUCUAGUAUUGAGUAGAACAAUACAUGUCAAAUAACUCCCAUUCAAUGUUGUUAUUGAAAUACAUCUCCAAAUCAUGGAAGGGGCUUCGAUGGAAAUCAUGAACGUGGCACAUGUUGCCGGAGGAGGAGAUGAAUAGAUAUGAGAGACCAAGGUGUUAGCCUCUGAACUCUCACAUUGCCGGAGGAGGAGAUGAAUAGAUAUGAGAGACGAAGGUGUUAGCCUCUGAACUCUCACCAAUAACUAACCCCUCUGGACUGCUUUCCCUGUCCGGAACUUGAAGAAUUAAGCAUUUUUCAAACACCUGAAACAGCUUUUUCCUGCAAGGGGGCGAAAAAUCUGACGUGAAGAUCACGUCGGUGACUCAACCCCCUCCUAGGGACGGCAUGGAAGAGCACCACUAAGCCAGUGACUCAACCCCCUCCUAGGGACGGCACGGAAGAGCACCACUAAGUCAGUGACUCAACCCCCUCCUAGGGACGGCACGGAAGAGCACCACUAAGCCAGUGACUCAGCCCCCUCCUAGGGACGGCACGGAAGAGCACCACUAAGUCAGUGACUCAACCCCCUCCUAGGGACGGCACGGAAGAGCACCACUAAGCCAGUGACUCAGCCCCCUCCUAGGGACGGCAUGGAAGUGCACCACUAAGUCAGUGACUCAACCCCCUCCUAGGGACGGCAUGGAAGAGCACCACUAAGUCAGCGACUCAACCCCCUCCUAGGGACGGUAUAUGGAAGAGCACCACUAAGCCAGUGACUCAGCCCCCUCCUAGGGACGGCAUGGAAGAGCACCACUAAGCCAGUGACUCAACCCCCUCCUAGGGACGUGACGGAAGAGCACCACUAAGCCAGUGACUCAGCCCCCUCCUAGGGACGGCAUGGAAGAGCACCACUAAGUCAGUGACUCAACCCCCUCCUAGGGACGGCAUGGAAGAGCAC